rnacentral:sRNA from 1 species
GCCAUGAGCUCAUCUGUCUCAGCCCCAUUUAUUUCUCCUGGGUGAUGAGAAGACCUGUGCUUCUCCGUUAAAAGGCACUAGGAAAGAAGGAGUUAAAGUGAAGGCAGGCUCGCUGGUUUGCUGAGAUCUGUCAGAGGCUGACUGGCUGGCUACAUAUCUGUCUCUGGAACAAUAGGUACCUGUAUUCUGCAUGGGCUGCUGGGCAGGCAGUACUAACACUCUGGAGAAGGUCUGCCUCUGUCUGAGCCUUCCUGGUGAGAUUCCCCAGUAACAGUCCUACUUUUCAGAGGAGAGAGAGAGAGAGAGAGAGAGAGAGAGAGAGAGAGAGAGAGAGAGAGAGAGAGAGUUUGAGGCUGUCUACUCUGUUGAUAGAGGACAAAGCUUUGAUCAUUUUUGUUCAGGCUUCACUUGGUGAGAGGUUUUAGGUUCUUAGUCUCAAGUCAGUAGUUGUGCUGCCUUCCCCCCCCCUCCCCUUUCUUUCAUAUUCUCUUUCUGCCGCCCUCCCUCUCUCAUUUCUCCUCAUAGGUUCAAUGCAGGCAGAUGAGUGCCACAGCUGUAACUGAGGCGUAGAAUAAUCAACACAUCGGAGCCAAUCCCCCUGACACCAAGAGGGGAAUCCGGCAGAGGUGACCGACCGCGAGGACAAGACCGUUCUUCUGACAAGUUUUAGGUAAGGGAACAUUUAUAUACAAUUCUUGCAUUUCUGAAUCUCGGUGACUGAGAGAGACACUUGUGAUAAAAAGAAAGGGAAGUCGUUGUAGGUAAAUAUUUUUGAGAGGGCAUCCUUCUUGUUGUCCGUUGCUUGCAGAACCUGUCAGUGUUUAUGCGGGGGCUUUGUGUUACUAGAAUCUUCAGAGGUGAGGUGUGAGCAGGACUGGAGGAAGGGUGAGCUGCUUUUUAUGUCUGUAUGGUGACAUUUACCAUGCUGUUUAAAUCUGUAUCUGUUAAAAAAAAAAAAGAAAGAAAGAAAAUAGAAUUUCUGUUUGACGAUAGUAACGUUUUGUGCAAGGCAGAGCAUAUGGCUGUGCAGAAUUCAAGUGGCGUUCUUUUAUUUUUAAUUUGUAAUUAUUUUUACAUUCAACUGUACUGAGGUCAGAGAGUUUUAAAAAUUAAUGAGAUUCCCUGUGGAGUUCAAAUAGUAAUAUCUACGUGAGCCUCCACAAAGAGAUAAGAUUAGGCCAGUAUAUAUGUAUUUUUUUCUUUCUUUCUUUCUUUUUUUUUUUUUUUUUUUGGCCAUGAUUUGGCUGUCUUACUUUGAAUACACGCCAUCUGAAGCAUAUGUAGGGUUCAAUAGUUUCUGGGAGUUGGUGUGAUUUGGAAGACUAGCCCUUAAUUUAUUGUUUAGUGACCAAGAGGCAUGGAGCCCCAGUUAGACUGCUGAGGAUGAACACUGUUAGGUGGGGACAUUCCUAAAACUUCACAGACUUUAUUGUCAUGACAAUGGAGCGAGUCUUAGACUUUCGAGGAAAGAGCAAAUGAUAAAUGAGGCAACGUGCUAAGAAGAAGAAGAAAAAGAAAAUCUGCGAAUGUGGCUUUAUUUUAAGUACUGUGUGAAAAUUCUAGGUAAAGACAGUUAUUUAGGAUCAAAGCUUGCUGGUCUGAACAAAGAGGCAAAGAUCCGCACAGGUGAAAAUUCUUUGCCACAAAAUGAAUCUAGAGCAUAGAUUAAGGGCAGGAAGUGAUUUGGUGAUUCACUAUUUUAUUUUAUUAUUAUUUUUUUAACCUUUAUUCUUGCCCCAUAAAGGUAGUUCACUGGGUUGAGUCCAGGCAUUUACAACUUUGAUUUCCCACAAUUUAAAAGCAUUGUUUGUGUGUCCGUGGUCUAAGACGCUGUUUAUAGGAGAGGCACUGAGAAGUAGUCUGAACAGAGGGUAAUCUGGGCUUCCAUUUACAAGAUCCAUUCAGGUCUUCCUGUGAUAUAUUGUUAUGUAAAUACUUUUCGGCCAGGGAGAGCUGGGCUAUGGAGAUUCAAUUUACUUUGAAAGUUGUUCAUUAUAGCAAGGAUGAAUGUUAUUUAUUUGAUGCGAUUCAAAGACUGGAAAUGACUUUUUCAUUGUGGUACUUUUUGUGAUGGGUCCAGGGUGAUCUAAUCUUUUUAAUUUUGGCUUUCACACCAGUGGAGAUGAAAAGAGAUCUGAACUCAUUUAUCGGUUGCUAGGUCUUUCUGGAAGCCCAAGUUCUGUUUGUGGUUGCUAUGGUCAGGCUGACCUCAAUCUCUGUGGUUUGAGGGACUUAAGCAGUCAUUUUUUUUCUUUUCUUUUCUUUUCUUUUUUUUUUUUAAUUGAGGAGCAUGUACCUUGAUUUAUGUCCAAAACUGUAGCUGAAUGUCUUUGUCUGCGGGUGAUAUAUGGUGCAGAACAAUUCAUCUGUUCUUACGAGUAAACACCGCUGUCCCACUAAAAAUAUGUUUUGUUCGGAGUUAAUGGUAUGGAACAAGGCAUUCUCCACAAAUAGCUAUCUUUUAUUGUGUUGGGGCCGCGGAAACGCUGAGCAAAGUGCAGGAAAUUGGCAUCAGUCCUCGCGUCUAUUAGCAUUUCAUUUGUGAGUCGCAUGAUAAGACCGGUAGGUGGACAGAGGGAGCCAGGAAGGGUUGUUUCGACAUCUUCACUUUCUCAACUGGGACCGCCUAGCCUGACCCGCAUUCGCCAGGACCCAGUAAGUCAGCGUUAGUUCCCCCUGACCCGGUGAGCAUCGUUUCGCCCAAGCGCUAAAGCACACCCAGGCGGACGUGCUGAGGCUCAGCGCUGGGGACCGGUAUUCUUAGGCUCCUUGAGGGAAAGUUGCUGGGUCCGAUCUCGGCACCACCCAGGACUGUAAUGUCUAUGCGCUACUGAAUGGUCCCCGGUCGCCUGCUUUCUAGACUCUUGUUAGAAAGGAGCCCGGGUGAAUCAGAGGCUAUGGAGAACGCAGCCCAAUUCAGCAGAUGAGCCGGAAUACAGUCCUGCUCCCUUAAAAACUGCUAAUUGAUGGAUGCUGCGGGGGAACAGACACCGCGAACGAGGGCAAAAUAGGAAUCAGGAGAGGCACGUAUUGCCGAUAGCACCACCGAUUUCCUUCUCAAAGCAGCUUGCACGGACUAUCCUCAGGAAAAUGAGAUCCAGGAGAAGUGACGCCCUCCUCGAACUGAAAGAUACUCAUGCUAAUGGUGUCACGGAAGAAGCGAUGUAUCGACAGCUCAGGAUGGCUGCAGGGGACAUAUUCAGACGUGGCCCAGAUUGUCUGCCCAUGGGGACUGAGAUACCUCUGAGAUUUAUAUCAGAUCUCCACAGUCUUUGUCGCUGUAUUUUGUUAGAAAGAAAGGCGAGGCUGUUUCUACAGGUGCCACAGAAAAAUCGAUGCCGAGUCACGGAUUAUUGGAUCCCACAGAACCAUGGAGACUUGGCGGUGAAAUUCUUCUAAAGUUUCUUCUGGCUAUCAGAGAGUUGAAAGGGGAAAAAAAAAUAAAGAGCCAAAGCUGUUUCAACUUCUUGGUUGUUUUACUCCAUGGCUUAGCAUUCCAUCUGCGCAGGCAGAGGUGUUCCUGGUUUGGGAAGUAUAAAUCCCGCGGGAAGUCAACUGGAGAACAUUUUACGCGUCCGUCACUCAUCCUAUUAUGAGCCUGCUGCUCUUCCUUCUCUGGACAAGCCUAAACUUUAAGAUUUGCUGAACAAACCUUGUGUCAAAUUUGGACCACCUAGACAGUAUUCCACCCUGAUUGUAUCCCAUGUCACUAUUCUGUGCAAGGCCACCGACUAGAAGAGCACAGAAUUAUUAAAAAGAAAACAAAAAAAAAAACCAAAAAAAACACAGCUGAAAGUGAACGUCUUUGGAUUUCCCAUUUAAUGAGUUGGCAGCUAAAGGACAGGAGCAGCAAUAAGGCUGCCUGGCUACAUUUUCAUAGUGCCACCAACUGCGAGUUAAGCUGACAAACAUUUUGAGAGCUCGGCCCAUUUCAUUCACAGCAGGAUGGCAGGGCUCCAAGGCUCGGCUGGAUUUUGACGCUGGGAAUGAAUUGAUGGGGCUCUUUGAUCUUGGCUGUGCGUUGCAUCUGUUUUUAUCUUUCUUCGUAACACAGUCUUCCAAACUCCAAUUCUAGCUGGCAUUCCUCAAAGAAAAUCCAGAAUUACACACACAAAACCUUGCCACUGAAAACUCAGAUGUAAACCUCAUUCUUUCCCCUUUGUGACAUGGAGUUAACUAACACUGUAAAAAAAACCUAACUAAAAAUCGUGCCUUUACUGCACAUUUGCACAGAAUCUCAGGACUGAAAGUGUCGAAGUUCUGCUCGACAAGCGGGUGACUGAUUGUCCCUGCCAGCUGGCUAAUAUCAUAAUUAGCAAAGUUGCUACCACAUCUGCAAAGUUUAAUCGAAAAAUUUACCAGUGGUAUGAUGGCAUUGUCACCAUGAUCCCAAGGGAAUCGGAGUCGACUUCUGCUUCAGGAGGAACGGCAAGGCUGUAUAGCUGAGAUGAGAAAUUGUAAACUUGCUCAGCCAAAGGUUAUGCUUCGCAUCACCCACCAGGGAGGAUCAUCUCUCAUGAAAACUUUCAAAUUUGAUUUUGAAAAUUUAUUCAGAAAAAUUUAAGCCACGCUCUUUUUCAACACAGAAAAUAAUAUGCUCCAGAGAAUCCUCUAAUUCACAGAAAAUGGACUCGGAUAACAUUUGGGUUCUCAUACUACCACAGUUCUCUUGAGAAGGACAGCCAGGAGGCUAAUAAUGAAGGGGCCAGGGAAGGAGGCCAAUGCUACAAGGGUUAUCUCUCAACCUCAGAUGUUGGAUAAGUCAGGGAACAGCGUCGUUUCUGGAUGGCUUCAGACAGGCCGGACUGACUGUUUGGAAGAGAAAAACCUGCUUAUUCUUUCAAAGGUACAUGAAUGUUGUCCACACCUUCCCGUCUAAAGGUUAGAAUCUUGCCUUAGACAAAGGAUGCUCUUGGAGUCCCACCACACCUAAAACCACGCUUUGAAGGAUCUGCCAAGCUCACUUUUAAUCAUGAGAAAGAAAUUACCCACAUGGAGACAGCAGAAAAUGAGAAAGGAGAGAUCGUGCUGCGAAUAAUUCCAGCGAGUGCCAAGGGGCUAGUUGAGGAAUGGCUUCAUGAGGUGAAUAUCUUAGCUUGUACUUAGAAUUUGGUUAGCGUAUAAUCAGUUUCUCUUUUAGGAGCGAAUACAAUCCUAAGUGUAUUUCCCAUCUGAGCACCGCUCAGGGCAUUUAUCAGGAUGUUGACAUAUUUAAUAUCGGCCUCGUCCUCGCCGUUAUUUAUGAUGACUAAUUUUACACUUAUAAAUAUGCAGAAAUCGAUGUAGGUGGAAAGGCUCUCUGAGCCCCAUGUCUGUCGCUAGCCGUCUGUCUUCAUGUGCAGCGCUCUGCUAGUGUGGCCUGUCCAGUAAUGUGUGUCUCUGUGUAUGUGCGUGCUCUUGUUGUCUCCUCUCCGCUGUGAAUGUGCAUUGGGAGAAUUAGCCUUAUGACAGGAUAUCAAAAGAUGGGCCCAAGACUUUCAUUUUUGGAAUGGAAAGAAAAAAUAAUGCGUAACACUUUGUAUCACAUCAGUUUCAAUUCUUCCUGAGAGGGAGGGGGCCAAUCAGGUAUGAGUCAUCACAGGGCAAAGCAACCAGGAUUCAAAUUGAACAUCACCUUCAGUGUCAAAUUAGUUGAAAGUCCCCCUUUUCCUUUACGGUGACUGGCUGAAACCCCUGCCAUUAUGUCUGUUUGUUUUAAAAGGGUGGGGGGAGCUGCCUGAGUUCAUCCACAGUGCCAUGUAGCUUUUCUUUGUUUCAUUUUUCUAAGGAUCAGAUCCAAGAAAAAUAAUAGGUUAGUAAUUCAAGACCAUCACUACUUACACGGUUCUCUCCCGGGCAUGUCAUUUCUUUGGGUGCCAAGUUUCAUCAAGAUCACUAAGUAAACAAAUGAGCGAUAACUUUUUUGCUCCUUUUUUCUUUUAAUUUGACUAGGGAGUAAGAACUGGGAAAGUCAAGUGUCUUUAUGAGUCACAGAGGAAGAAUGCAGGAACCCCCACCCCCACCCCCCAACUUCUGGUCUCAGACUUUGAUUUCCCACACAACCAAGUCACGGGAUCGCCAUGCCAACCUUAAGCAAUUUUGGCUCCCAGCAAUCCUGUGCUGGGGAAUCUUUCAAACUACCCUUCAAUCCGGGUCCAAAGGGCCACAGCACAGACUAGUAGAAAGAGUGCAUUAUCUGAGAAAGCACCAGGCUGCUUUCCCAUUGGUAUAUGUGUUUGGUGCCACGGUUAAGCACCGCUGGGGUCUAAUACGUGGAUGACCCCCUUUAUAGAGUGUGGGGGCUUCUGAGGAAAAGGCAAGCAUUGACUAAGAAAAAGAGUCAUUCUUCCAUGUGUUUUCAUAAAAGGACAAGGCAGGCCUCUUUGAGAGCUUCUGAAAGAGAAGAGGCAUGGGAGGAGAUGAGCCAGCUGGGGGUGGGUUGUUUUGGGGAGGGGAGCCAGCUGGGGAAUGGAGAGAGAGAGAGAGAGGCUGGGGAGAUAGCCAGCUGGGAGAAGAGGUAGGAUAAAGCCAAGGCACAAAGGUACAGGCAGAUGAGCAGCUGUGUUUAUUUGAAUACAUAUCAUUUAACCCUCACCUAAAAACAAAUUGGAGAGGUUUGGGAGUGCAUUAAUCUGGACCCAAUUAGCAUGUCUUUCCCCUUCAAAAGGUGCAACCUGAGAUUAAUGAAUAUCAACCAGAGUUUCAGAAGCAGCACUUAAAUCAUUUGCAUGUUUGUGCAUGAUAAUUGGAUUUAUGUAUGCACUUCCUUUCAUUUAACUAUUUCCAGUCUCCUUAUGAGUGAGUCAUACAACCCAAAACUUCAUUCGAGUGAUUUCUAGGUAGAAAUAGCUUACCUAGCAUUCUACCCCUAAGGGGGGAAAAACUCAAGUGGUUGUACAUUUUGAAUUUGAAUACCACAUUUCUUUCUUUUAUUAUUAUUUUUUUUAACAUAGAGGGCAGUUGAUAAUAGUGUGGAAUGCUGCUGCUUCUGGAGUUGGUAAAUAGGCACCACAGAUUUAUCUUUAAAAGGCUAGGAAAAUAAGGAAAUUUCCAACAUCAAGCUUUCAUGGCUUCCGUGUGGCCACUAGUAAGAGAUUUUAUAAUGCUAGGAACGAGGCCACUUGAAUGCCGCAUGGGGAAUGUUCUUGGUGUCUGGACCUGUGGCAAUUAGAUCACAGAGACAUCAGCAUCCAGGAUGGUUUAUGGCAUAGUUAGAAAUGUGUUUCUAUAGAAAGAGAUGGGAAUGCGGUCAACAUCUGUGAACUGCUGUGGACAGGCAAGGAGCAUUGUGAACCCUUGAUGCUGUGGGUUUGGUCCUUCUCAUUUCCUCCCUCCCUCCCUUCCUUCCUUCCUCCCUCCCUCUCUCCC